ensembl:lncRNA
GGGAUUGCAAUAAAUCUGUAGAUUGCUUUGAGUAAUAGGGCCAUUUUAAAAAUAUUAAUUCUUCCAUUCCAAGAGCAUAGCGUAUCUUUCCAUUUCUUUGAAUCAUCUCCAAUUUCCUUUGUUAAUGUUUUAUAGUUCUUAGCAUGUCUUUCACCUCCUUGGUGAGUUUCGUUCCUAAGUAUUUUUUGAUGCAAUUUAAAAAGUUUUAAUUUAAUUAUUUAUUUAUUUACUUUUGGCCUCAUCUGAGGCAUGAGGAAGUUCCCGGGCUAGGGAUUGAACUCAAGCCACAGCAGUAACAACACUGAAUCCUUAACUUCUGGGCCACCAGGAAACUCCUGGAUAUGAUUUUAUUAGUUUAGUUUAGUUUCGCUUUUUAGGGCCACACCCAUGGUAUAUGGAAGUUCCCAAGCUUGGGUUUGAAUUGGAGCUAUAGACACCGGCCUAUACCACAGCUAAAGCAAUGCGGGAUCUGAGCUGUGUCUGUGACCUACACCAUAGUCCACAGCAACACCAAGUCCUUAACCCACUGAGCAAGGCCAGGGAUUGAACCUGCAUCCUCGCGUAUACUAGUUGGAUUAGUUUCUGCUGUGCCACAAUGGGAACUCCACACCUGGAUGUGAUUUUAAAUGGGAUUGUUUCUUUACAUUUCCUUUCUGGUAUUUUAUUGUUGGCGUAAAGAGGUGCAACUGAUUUCUGUGUGUUAAUCUUGUACUUUGCUAUCUUGCUGAAUUUGUUUAUAACUUCUAGUAGAUUUUGCAUGGAGUCUUUAGGGUUUUCUAUGUAUAUAGUAUUAUGUCAUCUGCAUAUAAUGACAGUUUUACCUCUUAUAAAUUUGAAUGCAUUUUAUUUAUUUUUCUUGUAUGAUUGCUGUGGCUAGGACUUCCAAUACUAUGUUGAAUAGAAGUGGUGAGAGUGGGCAUCCUUGUUAUGUUCUAGAUUUUAGUGGGAAGGCUUUAGCUUUUCACUUUUGAGUAUUAUAUUGUCUGUGGGUUUGUCAUAAAUAGUUUUUAUUAUGUUUAAAUAUGUUCCCUCUAUACCCACUUUUGUAAGAGUUUUUAUCAUGAAUGGAUGUUGAAUUUUAUUGAAUACUUUUUCUGUAUCUAUUAAGAUGAUCAUGUGGUUUUUGUUUUUUCUUUUGUUGAUGUGAUGUAUCUUAUUGAUUGAUUUGUAUAUUUUGAACCACUCUUGUGAAUUUGGGAUGAACCCCUACUUGGUCAUGGUCAUGAUAUUUUUUGGAACAUAUUUUUAAAAUAGUGAUAAAGUAGUAUUGAUCCAAAAAGAUUUUUAAAUGGUCUAUUCUUUUUGUUUUCUAUCUGAGAAAAUUUUGCCUACUCUAAGGUCACAAAGCUUUCCUCUUUUAUCUUCUUGCGAAAGUUUUGUAAUUUUAGACUUUACAUGGAAAUCUAUGAUUUACUCUAAGUUACUUUAUGUCUAUGGUGAGAACUAAGGGUCAGUCUUAAUUUUUACCUCUUUGGAUGUCCAUUUAAUCCAGUACCAUUUGUUGGAAAGGCUAAUCUUCCCUCAUUGAAUUGCCUUGGCACCUUUCUAGAAAAUCAACUGAUCUCUUCUUGACCUUCCUCUGCACAGGUUUGGUAGUAGUAACUGGACCAAAAAAAAAAAAAUGCGCUUAGGGUAGUCAUUUUUUCAUAAUCAAAUGAAACUCUUAAAUUGGCUUUUGAAAAAAUUUACAGUUUUCAUUAAGAAAUCAAUAUAUUGGUUCCCAAUAUAUUGGAACAGAAAAAGGACAGAAAAGUAGAAUGCAAAGGAAAAAAUCCAUUCAUUAUCUUACUCUCUGAAGAAAUCUUCUCUUAACUUGAAAACUGUGUAUUCUUCCAUUUUAUUUUCCCUCUGUGAUAUUUAGGGGAUAUAAACAGAGGCAAAAUUGGCCAAUGUUUAAAAGUAUAAUCUAGAGUUUCAUUACUUAAGUUCCAAACUCAGAUCUUCCACUCACCAGCUUCAUUUUCUUGGGCAAGUAACUUAAUAUCACUUGGCUUUGUUUCCUACACCCAUGAAAUAAAUGCUAUAACACAUACUUAUUUGGGGAGGGGAGUUGUGAUAGCCUAUGGGAAGCACUUAGUGUCAUUUCUAGAGCAAAAUAAAUGCUGGCUAAUUCUUGGUUAUCCCCAUCAUUAUCCUCACUGCUAUUAUUCAUUAUUAUUAUUAUUUUUUUCUCUUUUGGCUACCUCACCACACAUGGAGUUCUCAGGCCAGGGAUCAGAUCCGAGCCACAGACUUGUGACCUAUGUUGCAGUCGCAGUAACCCCAGACCAUUAACCUGCUGCACCGGGCCUGGGUGGAACCUGUGUCCCAGUGCUCCAGAGACACUGCUGUUGCAUCACAUCAGGGACUCCUUACUUUUAAAUACUGGUCUUUUCUAGGACUCAGGUAACCAGAUUGAAGCAGUCUCACUGUGGGUGCGCUUUCCUUUUCAUGUGGUUAUCAUCUUACCGUAUGCAUCUCUGUACGUACUUAACAGAUGAAGCCAGUCCUUCACCUUGGGUGCGUUCAGUUGUCAGCACUGUGUUCCAGGUCCAUUAAAGACGUUGGGCCUCCUAGCAGCUAUUGUGUAGUGGGGUUGGAUACCAGUUAGCAGGACAUCCACCCGCCUAACAGCACAGUAUUUGGAAAGUGAAUGAUCCUGGCUUUCAAGGACCAGGUGGUCUCUACAGAGCUGGCUUCUGAUCACUCACACAGCUUAUCCCCUGCCACAGAUAUAUCAGAAAAUGAAAAGUGAACUAAUUUAGUUCUUCAAGUCUAGGAUAUAUUUAAAUCUUUUUACAAUGCAGUAUAAAGUAGAGCACAGAAGUGGAUGGGAGGAUGAAAACCCCACCCAUUAUAUGCAAAUAUGAAUAGAUUUUAAAUAUGACAUGUAUUAAUGAAAAUAAUUUUUAUUUAAAACAUUACCUGGAUAUUGCAAACAUUAAAAAAUUAUCUGUAGGUCAUUCACGUCCAGAUUCACCUUUUCUUCCCCCAGAGCACAGUAAGUGCAUAUAUUUAUUGCUGGAUUUUCCACAUAGAAAUUUAUAGUAUGAGGAAGGGCAGCAAACACAUGAUAAGUUGUGGAAUCUACUGCAUGGAACAGCUGGGCUCCAGAUGUUUAGAGUCCCGUGACAGGAAGAAACACAAGGUGAAAUCUCAAAGUCUCCUGCUGGCCUCAGAUUUUUGGAGAAGAUCUUGUCUUUUGUGGUAUAAAUCUGCUGAAGAACCUUUGCAGAUUAGGAAAGUUGGACCUGAGCAUACACCCUUUGGAUGUUUCCUGGCUGUCCUGGGUCUUCUCUUUUGUACCCCCACCCAGUCCCACCCUCUGCACGCGUCCUGGGUGACUGAUCUCUGUGGACCUCAUCAGGGAGCAAUGGGUUUGGCCACUGAGAGGCAUCAUCAGGAGAUCAUACGGUGGCAGGAGAAAAUGGAUGGGGCUUUCUUUCUCCUGCUGCUGCGUGCACUACUCCUCCACUCAAUAAAUUAGUGCCUCUGGAGCUGUCCUCUCAGCUACGGCUCUCUCUCAGGGUUCUGGUAUCAGAGCCCUUCAGGUUUAGCGCAGGUGGCAUCUUUCUGUCGCUGCUGGUUCCGAAGUAUUUAACUAUUCCCUACUGGUUCCCUUAUCCCUGACCCCACUCUUCCAGAUGCUUCCUUCAUGAAACUCUCCUCAACUGGAACGCACUGUUUCCUGCCAGGGCCCGACUGAUACAGUGGCCAAAAUAAGCUCCUCCAUGUGAGGAGAGGUAGAAAAUAAUGAUAAGGAAGAUAAUCCUAUCCACUUAUGGCAGCCUUCUAAACACUAAACACAGCUAAAUACUGUGGAAAGCAUUUUGUAUGUAUUCAAUAAACAUUUACUCAGUGCUAAACAUUGUUAGAUAAAACAGACUCUGCUCUCAAAGAGGUGACCCAAUUUAACUUCCAUGUAACGGCCCUGUUAUUGUUAUCACUACUUCAGGCAUGGGAAGACUGAGUCUCAGAGAGGUUAAGUGACUUUGCCAAGGUCAUCAGCCAGUAAGUACAGAGCUGGGAUUUGUAUCCAGGCUGUCUGACUCCAAGGCCCAUGCUUUAGUCUGUUGCAACAACGGCUGCUCAAGUACCCUCUCAAGUCAGCAACUGGACGAGUUCCCAGGAAUGGAGCUGUUUUGUUCUGCCUGGGGGUGACAAAAGUGUAGGGGAAGGCUGGAGCCUGCAGGAGAGAAGGCUGUGGGCUGAACUAGCUUAGGGAUGGUGUGUCGCAGGGUAGCUGGUGACAGAUGGACACAAUGCUGGCCCCACAUGGGCUGAGGAUGAGGCAUUUCUGUUCUUAGUCUGGCUCUUCCCACUGAGCGGCUAUUGACGUCAGGUAGGGAUGAUUCUUUUGUUUGGGUCCAAGCUUAGGCAUGGGUUUUGUUUGCCUGGCACAGGCCUGGGGAGCCACGAAGGGAUUGGGUCCCUCACAUGCAGGAACCUUUACUAGGAGGUGACUUUCCUCUGCGGUUUCCCAAAGAAAGUGAGGAAAAAUAAAUUGCUGGCAUAUUGUUUUUGGAGUCUAGAUUCAAACCUUUGGUCCACCCACCCUGCCCCCCGCCAUUCUUGUGAGGACUGCUCAUGGAAUUCUGAAGGGAAUAAUCGUGCAGUGACCCAGCUUUCUGAGGACUAUGCCUGACCAGCAGCAGCAGGCCCUCCAGGGGCCCCUCAGAGCAGCCAUGCUUGGAGUGCAGCCCCUGCCAUGCAGACCAUCAGGAUUGCAGACUGUAGCUCAGAUGAGCCAGGUUUCAGUAUUUCUGUGACUGAUUUAUAAAAUCCAGUGGGCUCCUGACUAGACUCAGUUUUCUUCCUUCCCUUUCCUCCUUUUCCUCUCUCCACUUUACUUUUUUUCCUCUCCCUUCCCGUCUUCCUAUCUCCUGCCUUUCCUUGACAAGCCCCCUCCAUCAGCAUCAGUCAGUAGAUUUGAUGUGAAUAUCCAAGUUCUAAAGGGACUUCUUCCUUUGAAGGGGACCUCUUUCCAUGGUAUCCCUGUUGAGUCCCUGGGAGCCCCUCUCAUCAGGCAGAUAAACACAUACCUCCUGACAUAGAAAAGGCUUUAGCCCUUAGAAGAUUCAGAUGAGAAAGUUACGGGGAAUUGAAACAUUGACCUCCUAUUACAACCUUUUCUUUUGAGGGGUUCAAAGAAAUAAGUUGAUUUUAGCCAUGUCCAUUUCCUAUCUGUGAUGCAAAGGCAGGGCCGACUCUGUCAGCAGCUGAACGCAAACAACCACAGAAAAGCUCUCUUUCCAUGGAACUAAAAUACAAUCUGAUUUCAAACUCUCUUUGCCUCUUGGCUGUGGAAAAACAGGGUAGGGAAUAGUGAAGCCCUCGUUAGGUGUCAGGAUGUCCAGAUCAUUUCAGGAAUGUCUCUCUUACUGUCUAGAGCAAUUCUUACCUUUCCACGAGCCAGUCAGCUUGCCUUUACAUCUUCCACCAUAUCCCUAUAUGUGACCAGCAGUGUAGGAUUUUCCGUGACCCAAAGGAUAACAAGGAUAGAAGGGAGAGAGGCAACUGCCAGGAAAUUUUAUUUGUAGAGAAGUCUCUAGAGAAGCCCUUCUCUAUCUCCACCCUACUCCCAUAUUUAUCCCAUUCUGAUUGGCCAGCAUCCCCAGAACCCCAUCCAAGAAAAUGGGUGAGUCUUUCCCCUGAAGGCCUUGUAGCUUAGCGUGAGGGAAAGUCUGGAGCUGGACAUCCAUGUCCCAUGCCACCCUCUGCUAGAGACUGGGUGGUGGCCCGUGAAUGAAGCACCUGUGGAGGGUCAGACUAGCCAGGACACCAAUCCUGACAUCACCUGGCACAUAUGUAGAGCCGGGCUCCCUGGAGCUGGGGGCUCAUUCCCCAGGGCGGAAAGAGGUAGGUUAUUUGUGUGUGUUCUGUGUUAAGAUGGCUGCUCCAGGCCUGACCUUGUGGAGGCUUCUUGGCUUAGCAGGAGGUGAUGUCACUCAGUGUUUCCUGCAGCUGCUGUGGCGUGAGGAGUGGCCCCCACCCUGAGGCCCCAGAGAGGAACAGCAGUGGAGAGCCAGUGUGUGUGGGCUUCAUGACUGAAACGUCACUCUGCUCAGGGCGGGGUGGGGGCGGGGUGGGGAGGGCAGGGCAGAAGCAGUGUUCAACAUAGCAAGUGGGGUAACGGGGUGGUCUGAUUGAUAGAGAACCCGUGUGACCCCGAAGCAUAUCCACGCCUCCUCCCUAACCCUCUGGGGUGUGGUCCAUUCCAGGCCAAGCCCAAAGUCUCUUUAGAUUCUAAGUGGUCUACAUGACCUGCUGAGUGGUUCUUAGAAAAGAUCCUGUGUUCCCAAUACUACCACUGGGUUGAAGUCAUCUUUAAAAUUAUAUUCUUAGGAGCUCCCACUGUGGCACAACAGCUGGUGGCAUCUUG